AUUGAACGCUGGCGGCAGGCCUAACACAUGCAAGUCGAGCGGAUGAAGAGAGCUUGCUCUCUGAUUCAGCGGCGGACGGGUGAGUAAUGCCUAGGAAUCUGCCUGGUAGUGGGGGACAACGUUUCGAAAGGAACGCUAAUACCGCAUACGUCCUACGGGAGAAAGCAGGGGACCUUCGGGCCUUGCGCUAUCAGAUGAGCGUAGGUGGGAUUAGCUAGUAGGUGGGGUAAUGGAUCACCUAGGCGACGAUCCUUAACUGGGCUGAGAGGAUAAUCAGUCACACUGGAACUGAGACACGGUCCAGACUCCUACGGGAGGCAGCAGUGGGGAAUAUUGGACAAUGGGCGAAAGCCUGAUCCAGCCAUGCCGCGUGUGUGAAGAAGGUCUUCGGAUUGUAAAGCACUUUAAGUUGGGAGGAAGGGCAGUAAGUUAAUACCUUGCUGUUUUGACGUUACCAACAGAAUAAGCACCGGCUAACUUCGUGCCAGCCGCCGCGGUAAAAC
rnacentral:rRNA from 1 species